UGUAGACUGCAUGUGCUACACGCGCACCUAUCAAUGGCAAUACCAUUGAAGAAUGCGCCGUCGCGAAGCUAGUCACUCAGGAGUACUCGACAAACCGUUGUCGACUAUUCGAGUCGUCAUCAAUAUUGCGGGACACUCGAUAGAUAUUGGGAAAUAGCACUGAGCUGUUGUGACAUCUUGCUGAUAUUUUGGACAAGUUGGACAAAACUUUUGUUGAUAACUUCAACUUUAUUCCAAUUCUAUUUGUGGGGAAUGGUGGAAAAUCAAAUAAAUCUGGUGGAAGUUAAUAUUUAAUUUGUCUUUUAGCAAUAUAAUUCUUAGAUAUAUAAGUAUUAAGAAAACAAUAUUUAAUCUGCUUGUUUUUCAGAACUAUCUUGUAAAGGAAAAUAGAAAAACAAGAUCUAUAAAAUAAAUACUUAUUUUGAAGGAUGAUUUUAAAGAU